UGGUUCAACAUAAAAUCAUAGCCACCGUUUGGUUGGGGGUUAAGAGGUGGAAUAACCCCUUAACUCCCAAUUUAUACCCAAAUACUACUCUUUUAGGGUGGGGUUAGUAAACCCCACCCCAAACCGGGUUAGUGGGGUUUACUAAUUAACCCCACUCCCCCUCCCAACUUUAACCCCGCACGCAUCCCGAGCCCUCACCUUUUUCUUCUUUAUCAAUCAUUAACCUCACUCCUCCUUCCAACUUUAACCCCGCACGCAUCCCGAGCUCUCACAUUUUUCUUCUUUAUCAAUCAUUAUCUUCUUAUCCCACCUACUCCAACCAAACACUUUUUUUCACUAUCCUAGACUAACUCCAACCUCCAACCAAACACAAAAAAAUUUUAACACCAUUUUAACCCUGAACUUAACCCUAUCCCUGGAAUAGCUACUUUUUCUUAACCCCGAACCAAACGGGGGCAUAAAGUAUAAUUUUUCGUAGAAAAAAGUUUUGGUGAAAUUUGUUUUUUUAUAUUUUGUAGUUUUUGGUUUGUAGAAAAAAAAUAAUUUUCAAUCAACAUUUAUUUGGUUGAAAGAAAAAAUAAAAUUCACAUUUAUUUGGUCCAGUAGAAAAAAAAUGAAUGAAAAAAAUUUUACACAGUUUGAGUUUUUAUUUUUCGUUGGAAAGCUGCGACAAACUAAAACUUCAAAUUUUUUUUUUCCAAAUCCAUAAAACGUCGAGCCAAACAAAAAAAAAAAAAGCAUUUUUCAUAUUGAAAAUAAUUUGUCUAUUCGUUUUACGCCGAACCAAACACCCCUUAGCUCUUGAAACAAGCAAUUAAGCUAAAAUCAGUAUGGGCUCGACCAAUUUUAAUGUCCCUCAGUUGAGGGGCUCACACAAACACACACUAAAUUUGAGACCUCAGCCCAAAUUGGACGUGAGCCUGGCCCAGCCUGCAUUCUUACCUACCGAAAAUUUGAGAACAUUUGGCCUGCUUGUUUCUUCUUUUUUUCAACUUUAGUUAUCUCUAAUGCAGUGUUUAGUGCGCGAAAUUUCAGAGUUUUGUAUGUGGGGGAAAGUUAAAAUUAUAUUUUGAGACUGGCUUCUCCGGCAGAAAAGUUGUUAGGAUGAUUUUGACAUGAUAAUUUUCUAAUAACGCAAGGCAAACAAUAUUUCAUCCAACAGUAUUAUGCCUUAUCAUAUAUAUAUAUACAUAUAUAGAGUUGAGCUAGAAUACUAUCGAUAGCAAACGGACUCUGUUGCCACCAAUUUGUUUUCGAUGAUGGAGCCUCUAAAUCGACGAUCGGCACCGUUGAGCAUGAUCUAUACCAUUUGAAGUGUUUAGAAAUCAAAUUUCAUACAUUUUCGAUAUUGUUCUCUUAUCCAUCGAGUGGACACAAAAAUGAACGGUUGAAAAUGAAUAUUCUUUAAAAAAUAAUAAUAGGAGUCUUGUAGUCAAAAUCAAGAGUAUAGAUCUUGUUUUAAAUAGUUUAAAGAAUUUUCUAACAAAAAUGCAAUUGAUUUGGAUAUCUUUACACCGUUAAACAAGAAAACGUCUCAUAUCGACCAUUAAAAUUAUACAUUUUAAAACUCUUUGAUCAUUAGGCAAAUGAUGUCGAAAAGAUUUGAAAUUUGAUUUCUAAAUACUUCAAAUGGUAUAGAUCAUGUUCAACGGUGCCGAUCGUUGAUUUAAAGGCUCAAUCAUUGAAAACAAAUGGGUGGCAAUGGAGCCCAUUUGCUACCGAUAGUAUUCUAGCCCAACUCUCUCUCUCUCUCUAUAUAUAUAUAUAUAUAGAGUGAGGCUACUAUGCUAUCGGAAGCACGGAGCCUUCCGUGCUUCCAGCUCGUUUUCGAUGUUGCGACUUUCGAAUCGUCGAUCGGCUCCGUUAAACUUGAUCUAGAGUAUUUGAAGUAUCUAGAAAAUAAAUUUUAUGAUUUUACGAUAUCAUUUGCCUAGUGAACGAAGGGGCUCAAAAUCAACGGCUGAAAAUAAAAAUCUUACAAAAUU
rnacentral:lncRNA from 1 species